rnacentral:misc_RNA from 1 species
GAAAUGCGAUAAGUAAUGUGAAUUGCAGAAUUCAGUGAAUCAUCGAAUCUUUGAACGCACCUUGCGCUCCUUGGUAUUCCUUGGAGCAUGCCUGUUUGAGUAUCAUGAAAUCUUCAAAGUAAAUCUUUUGUUAACUCAAUUGGUUUCUACUUUGGUAUUGGAGGUCUUUGCAGCUUCACACCUGCUCCUCUUUGUUCAUUAGCUGGAUCUCAGUGUUAUGCUUGGUUCCACUCGGCGUGAUAAGUUAUCUAUCGCUGAGGACACUGUAAAAGGUGGCCAAGGUAAAUGCAGAUGAACCGCUUCUAAUAGUCCAUUGACUUGGACAAUACUUUUAUGAUCUGAUCUCAAAUCAGGUAGGAAUGCCCGCUGAACUUAAGC